GAUGAACGCUGGCGGCGUGCCUAAUACAUGCAAGUCGAGCGAACAGACGAGGAGCUUGCUCCUCUGACGUUAGCGGCGGACGGGUGAGUAACACGUGGAUAACCUACCUAUAAGACUGGGAUAACUUCGGGAAACCGGAGAUAAUACCGGAUAACAUGUUGAACCGCAUGGUUCAACAGUGAAAGACGGUCUUGCUGUCUCUUAUAGAUGGAUCCGCGCCGCAUUAGCUAGUUGGUAAGGUCACGGCUUACCAAGGCAACGAUGCGUAGCCGACCUGAGAGGGUGAUCGGCCACACUGGAACUGAGACACGGUCCAGACUCCUACGGGAGGCAGCAGUAGGGAAUCUUCCGCAAUGGGCGAAAGCCUGACGGAGCAACGCCGCGUGAGUGAAGAAGGUCUUCGGAUCGUAAAACUCUGUUAUUAGGGAAGAACAAAUGUGUAAGUAACUAUGCACGUCUUGACGGUACCUAAUCAGAAAGCCACGGCUAACUACGUG
rnacentral:rRNA from 1 species